UGAGUUAAAACAAAAUAAAAGGAGUUAAAAUAGAUAAAAAAAGUUAAAAAUAAUAAUGAAAAUAAGAGUUGAAAAAUUAGAAUCAAUAAAAUAAAAUACGUUAAAAUUAAAUAAAAGUUAUGACAAUAUAAAAUGAGUUAAAAAAUGAGUUGAAAUAAGUUUUAAAAAAUUAGAAAUAAUUAUAAAAAUUAGAAUAAAUAGGAUAAACUAACUUAAUCAACUAAAUAAAAUAAGUUGAAACAAAAUAAAAUGAGUCAAAUAAAUUUAAAAAAGUUAAAAAUAAUAAUGAAAAUUAGAAUUAAUAAAAUAAAAGAAGUUAAAACAAAAAAUAAUUUAAAAAUAAUAAUAAAAAUUAGAAUAAAUAAAAUAGAAUAAGUUAAAAUUAAAUAAAAUGAGUUGAAACAAAAUAAAUAUAGUUUAAAUAUAUUUAGAUAGAUUUAGGUUAAAUUAAUAAUAAAAAUUAGAAUAAAUAAUUAAAAAAAAAUAAAGCGAGUUGAAAACUAUAAUAGAAAUUAGAAUAAUUAAAAUAGAAUAAGUUAAAACUUAAUAAACUGAGUUUAAAAAAUAAAAUAAUUUAACAAAAUAAAAUGAGUUUAAACUUUAUUUAGAGUUAAGAGCUAAGUUAAAAGUCAUAUCCAGUAAAAGCACUUAUAAUAAUGGGUUUUUAAAAGAGUUUUAAAACAGGAUAAGGAACUUAUUUGCCAGAUUUUUUUGAACAGUUUGUUCCAGAGAGUGGGGGCCCUGACAGAAACAGCCUGAUCCCCCUUGGUCCUCAGCCUGGACUGAAGAACAGUCAGCAGACCCUUUGCUGAGGACUUCAGGGUACGAACGAGCUCGUAAUGUGUGAGGAGAUCAGUGAUGUACUUAAGGGGAAGUCCAAAUAUAGGCGCUGAAAACGUAAGAUGUCACAUUGUCAAAGAUAAAAACUCAUAUUUUACUCAAACAGUUUAACCUUUGGCUCUAGAUUUCUUUUCUUGCUUUCUCAAUAAUGUAAUUCCUCGUGUCUUCGUCCAUCAGCGGUUCAGAUUUUGCCCAAAAGCACUUUGGUAGACAUGCUCAAAGUCUGUCCUUUUAAGGGAAAAACUCUGUUGUCUUCCAGAGUCUGUGGUCCCUCUGUAUUGAUGAUUCAAUCAGAAGAGUUUGCUGCGGAUGUGACUCAUCUUCAAGUUGUAAUAGAAAUCAUUUUAACCCCGAAAUAUCUCCUCCUCCUUCUUCUGUAAACCUCUCGACCACAUCUGCAGCGGAGGAGGAAGAGUAUGUAGAUACAGUACCAACUUCCCUCCUAAACUUCUCACACAUCGGUGCUUCCAUCCCUUUUUAAAGACUGAUCCAAAUACAGAGUUUUAUUCCACAAUGAUUAAUGGUGCAUGUUUGUAUCCCAACUAUGAAAACUACUGAAUAAGUCAAACAGCGGCCUCAUACUGCAAAACUGUGAUGUGUCCACAGCAGCAUAUUUUCCUGGAGUCAUUCACCUCUGCGCCUGUCCUCUGAGAGCGAGUCGUGUUUUCUGCAGUUUGUGCAUCAGCUUUGAUAUUUUAUUUCCUCCUCUCUUUAUUUUCUUCUCUCUCUCUCUCUCUCUCUCUCUCUCUCUCUCUCUCGCACAAACAGUGACAAACCCCGGCGGGCGGAUUGAUCAGAGAUGCUGUUAGAGGAAAAGCUAAAACAAAGUGGAUCCUCAGCUGACCGCAGCACACUUCACUUUAUCUAUCUGACCACACACAUCCGUCUCGGUUUCGGUCUCUGUCUCUCCUCUCUCUUCUUGAAUCUUCGUCCAUGUAUCUGCCGCUGCUAUCUUUUCCUCAUUUACUCUCCUCCACUUUGUCUCUUUCUCCCUCUCCUCCUCCUC